GCAGCAGCUUAGUUUCUGCUCUGACAGCUGGAAUACCAUGCUGAACGCGGUGAGUGAGUGUUAGAAAUCAGUAAUGGUGGGACAACACUGUUCUUGGUACGUUUUUCAUCUUCAAACUAAACUUGGGUCUUCAGCCAACAAAGUUUAAAUCCCGUCUGGUUAGUGCGCUUCCCAUAAUGUUUACACAUUAGGUCAGUAGGUGGAGAGUAGGCAGUCUUUUGCUGCUGUUCGAACACAUUCAACCACAUUAGUGUUUACACUAUGAAAGCAAUCCGAUCGAAUGUGUUUUCAACUAUCUCUGGAAGUGGUCGAAAGUAGAUAAGCUCAAAAUGUUUGCGCCUAUAUUUAGCGUCGUCCACUUGUGAUCGAUCAACCAAAACGCAUCCUAAUACCAGGUGGAAACAGGGUCUAAGAUUCAUCAUUCAUUCUACAAAAUUCAGAAGUAUAUUAUGUCUUCACAUGCUGAUCAGUAUUAUCCUGCGUUUACGGUACUAAUGUAUUCAGUCCUUUUAGUUGAACAUUUCAAAGACAUAAACACGGACAUUAUAACAGUUGCUAUUGGAUUACUCUUCCUGGUGUGUCUCUUCUUCAUUAUACG